GAUGAACGCUGGCGGCGUGCUUAACACAUGCAAGUCGAACGAAGCAUUUGCGACAGAUUUUUUCGGAAUGAAGUUGCUUAUGACUGAGUGGCGGACGGGUGAGUAACGCGUGGGUAACCUGCCUUGUACUGGGGGAUAGCAGCUGGAAACGGCUGGUAAUACCGCAUAAGCGCACAAUGUUGCAUGACAUGGUGUGAAAAACUCCGGUGGUAUAAGAUGGACCCGCGUCUGAUUAGCUAGUUGGUGAGAUAACAGCCCACCAAGGCGACGAUCAGUAGCCGACCUGAGAGGGGGACCGGCCACAUUGGGACUGAGACACGGCCCAGACUCCUACGGGAGGCAGCAGUGGGGAAUAUUGCACAAUGGAGGAAACUCUGAUGCAGCGACGCCGCGUGAGUGAAGAAGUAAUUCGUUAUGUAAAGCUCUAUCAGCAGGGAAGAUAGUGACGGUACCUGACUAAGAAGCUCCGGCUAAAUACGUG
rnacentral:rRNA from 1 species